rnacentral:rRNA from 1 species
GGGAAAUAACUGUUUCAGUGAAACUAAAAAGAAAUUCCUUAAUAGGUGAAAAUUCCUUUGAUAUAUAUAAUAGACGAGAAGACCCUAAGAAUUAUACAUUAAAAUUGUAAAUUUAUGAUAAAUUUUUGUUGGGGCAACAGAUUUGGUAAAAUCAAUAAUUUAAAGGUUUGCACAUUAAGUAUAUUUAAUAAGAAUUUAAUUACCUUAGGGAUAACAGCAUUAUUAAUGUAUUAGAUUGUGACCUCGAUGUUGGACUAGGGACUUUUAAAGUAAGCCAUUUUAAAAGAUUGUUCUGUUCGAACAUAAAAC